CGAACGGGUGAGUAAUGCGUGACCAACCUGCCCCAUGCUCCAGAAUAGCUCUUGGAAACGGGUGGUAAUGCUGGAUGCUCCAACUUGACGCAUGUCUUGUUGGGAAAGUGUUUAGUGGCAUGGGAUGGGGUCGCGUCCUAUCAGCUUGUAGGCGGGGUAAUGGCCCACCUAGGCUUCGACGGGUAGCCGGCCUGAGAGGGCGGACGGCCACAUUGGGACUGAGAUACGGCCCAGACUCCUACGGGUAGGCAGCAGAA
rnacentral:rRNA from 1 species